UAAGUAGGCGGUGGAAAAUGAACCAAAUGGGAUUCCUUAAGUAAUUGCGAAUGAACAAGGAAAUGCUCAGCUUGAAAAAUGGGGCCUUUGGCUUUGAAUUGUAAUUUUGAAAUGUAUUGCCAAUGGAGGCGCAGGUGCAAGCCUAUUGAAAGAAAGCGUCAAUGAGGGUGAGAUUCCUUUUUGUCAUUUGCAGUCCUCCGUGCACGGUAUAUAUUUGACGAGUCACACUCCUCGGCAUUGGAAUGCAAAGUGGGUGGUAAAUUCCAUGUAAAGGUAAAUAUAUUAUUGAGACUGAUAGCAAACAAGUACCAUGAGGGAAAUAUGAAAAGGACUUUGAAAAGAGAAUUAAAAGAGUCUGCAUUUGCUGAACAGAAAGCAAACAGAAUUGAUUUUACUUGGUGAGAUUGUUGUGCUUACUCUAUCAUUUAUAUGGUUGAUGUGGGUGCGAUGGUUCUUACCUUGAAUGUCAGCUUCUAUUUCUGCAAAUCAUUACCCUUGCACAUGAAUGGUAACUUGCCUGCGGGUAUUGGAAUGCAUGUGUUUGCAAUGAUUUGUGAUUUGACGCAUGUGUUUGGUGAAAUUUGUAUAUGCUCUUUUGUCGAAGGGGAAAGCUUACUUUUUUGAGCAUUGCAAGCCCUUACACAUCAGUGCUGGCAAAAUGUUUCUGCUUGACCCG
rnacentral:rRNA from 1 species